AGAAUAAAGAGAAGAAGAGAGAGAAGAAGAAGAGAGAGGAGCGGGAGAGAGAGAGGAAUUUUGAUUCUUCUUUUUUGAUUUUUUCUUCUUUUUUGUGGUGGCCCUUUCUUCGAGGAUUUUCUGAGAAUCAAUGCCAACCAAGACACAGAAAAG
rnacentral:ribozyme from 13 species